GAUGAACGCUGGCGGCGUGCCUAAUACAUGCAAGUCGAGCGAACAGACCAGGAGCUUUCUCCUCUUACGUUUGCCGCGGUCGUGUGUGUAACACGUGGAUAACCUACCUAUAUUACUGGGAUAACUUCGGGACACCGGAUCUAAUACCGGAUAAUAUAUUUAACCGCCUGGUUCAAUAGUGAAUUUCUGUUUUUCUGUCUCUUUUAGAUUCUUCCGCGCCGCAUUAGCUAGUUGGUACGGUAACCGCUUACCAAGGCAACGAGGCGUAGCCGACCUGAGAGGGUGAUCGGCGACACUGGAAGGGAGACACGGACCAGAGGACUACGGGAGGCAGCAGAAGGGAAUAGUAGGCAAGGGGCGAAAGCCGGACGGAGCAACGCCGCGGGAGGGAUGAAGGUGUUGGGAGCGUAAAACUCGGUUAUUAGGGAAGAAAAAAUGUGUAAGAAAAAAUGCACGUAGUGACGGGACCUAAACAGAAAGCCACGGCUAACUACGUG
rnacentral:rRNA from 1 species